AUUGAACGCUGGCGGCAGGCCUAACACAUGCAAGUCGAACGAGUGGCGGACGGGUGAGUAAUGUCUGGGAAACUGCCUGAUGGAGGGGGCUAACUACUGGAAACGGUAGCUAAUACCGCAUACCAUCGGAUGUGCCCAGACGGGAUUAGCUAGCAGGUGGGGUAAAGGCUCAUCUAGGCGACGAUCCCUAGCUGGUCUGAGAGGAUGACCGGCCACACUGGAACUGAGACACGGUCCAGACUCCUACGGGAGGCAGCAGAAGGGAAUAUUGCGCAAUGGGCGCAAGCCUGAUACAGCCAUGCCGCGUGUAUGAAGAAGGCCUUCGGGUUGUAAAGUACUUUCAGCGGGGAGGCGUUACCCGCAGAAGAAGCACCGGCUAACUCCGUGCCAGCCGCCGCGGUAAUUC
rnacentral:rRNA from 1 species